GGUUAAGCGACUAAGCGUACACGGUGGAUGCCCUGGCAGUCAGAGGCGAUGAAGGACGUGCUAAUCUGCGAAAAGCGUCGGUAAGGUGAUAUGAACCGUUAUAGCCGGCGAUGUCCGAAUGGGGAAACCCAGUGCAAUUCGUUGCACUAUCGUUAACUGAAUACAUAGGUUAACGAGGCGAACCGGGGGAACUGAAACAUCUAAGUACCCCGAGGAAAAGAAAUCAACCGAGAUUCCCCCAGUAGCGGCGAGCGAACGGGGAGCAGCCCAGAGUCUGAAUCAGCUUGUGUGU
rnacentral:rRNA from 1 species